AAAAUGUUUUGGCAAGAUCAGAUGAAUAACAUGCCGUCUUGGCCUAUAUGGCAGGGCGGGUGUUACAGAAAACCUAAAACAUCAAUCUUUUAGAAACUAUUUUUUUCCUAAAGAAAAUCAAUCAUUUAGGAAAAGGGUGAGUAUAUACAUCAUAAAAAAACGUGUUAACACGGAAAAGCAUGGUCAUUUUAAUCAUUGUAUAUGGUCAUAUGGAUAUUAUCACAGUUUAACAACACAAAGAAAAUUACAUCUAGAUGUAUAGAUAAAAGCCAUUAAAAUUUUG
rnacentral:sRNA from 1 species